rnacentral:rRNA from 1 species
GACGAACGCUGGCGGCGUGCUUAACACAUGCAAGUCGAGCGGUAAGGCCCUUUCGGGGGUACACGAGCGGCGAACGGGUGAGUAACACGUGGGUGACCUGCCCUCAGCUCUGGGAUAACCCUGGGAAACUGGGUCUAAUACUGGAUAUGACUCCACGGUGCAUGUCGUGGGGUGGAAAGCCUUGUGCGGCUGAGGAUGGGCCCGCGGCCUAUCAGCUUGUUGGUGGGGUGAUGGCCUACCAAGGCGACGACGGGUAGCCGGCCUGAGAGGGCGACCGGCCACACUGGGACUGAGACACGGCCCAGACUCCUACGGGAGGCAGCAGUGGGGAAUCUUGCGCAAUGGGCGAAAGCCUGACGCAGCGACGCCGCGUGAGGGAUGACGGCCUGGU